rnacentral:rRNA from 1 species
UACGUAGGGUGCGAGCGUUGUCCGGAAUUAUUGGGCGUAAAGAGCUCGUAGGCGGUUUGUCGCGUCUGCCGUGAAAGUCCGGGGCUCAACUCCGGAUCUGCGGUGGGUACGGGCAGACUAGAGUGAUGUAGGGGAGACUGGAAUUCCUGGUGUAGCGGUGAAAUGCGCAGAUAUCAGGAGGAACACCUAUGGCGAAGGCAGGUCUCUGGGCAUUAACUGACGCUGAGGAGCGAAAGCAUGGGGAGCGAACAGG